UCGACGAUGAAUCUUCUAGCUUGCUAGAAGUGGAUUAGUGGCGCACGGGUGAGUAAUGCAUAGGUUAUGUGCCCUUUAGUCUGGGAUAGCCACUGGAAACGGUGAUUAAUACUGGAUACUCCCUACGGGGGAAAGUUUUUCGCUAAAGGAUCAGCCUAUGUCCUAUCAGCUUGUUGGUGAGGUAAUGGCUCACCAAGGCUAUGACGGGUAUCCGGCCUGAGAGGGUGAUCGGACACACUGGAACUGAGACACGGUCCAGACUCCUACGGGAGGCAGCAGUAGGGAAUAUUGCUCAAUGGGGGAAACCCUGAAGCAGCAACGCCGCGUGGAGGAUGAAGGUUUUAGGAUUGUAAACUCCUUUUGUUAGAGAAGAUUAUGACGGUAUCUAACGAAUAAGCACCGGCUAACUCCGUGCCAGCAGCCACGGUAAUACGGAGGGUGCAAGCGUUACUCGGAAUCACUGGGCGUAAAGAGUGCGUAGGCGGGGUAAUAAGUCAGAUGUGAAAUCCUGUAGCUUAACUACAGAACUGCAUUUGAAACUGUUACUCUGGAGUGUGGGAGAGGUAGGUGGAAUUCUUGGUGUAGGGGUAAAAUCCGUAGAGAUCAAGAGGAAUACUCAUUGCGAAGGCGACCUGCUGGAACAUUACUGACGCUGAUGCACGAAAGCGUGGGGAGCAAACAGGAUUAGAUACCCUGGUAGUCCACGCCCUAAACGAUGGAUGCUAGUUGUUGCCUUGCUUGUCAGGGCAGUAAUGCAGCUAACGCAUUAAGCAUCCCGCCUGGGGAGUACGGUCGCAAGAUUAAAACUCAAAGGAAUAGACGGGGACCCGCACAAGCGGUGGAGCAUGUGGUUUAAUUCGAAGAUACGCGAAGAACCUUACCUAGGCUUGA
rnacentral:rRNA from 1 species